rnacentral:rRNA from 1 species
CGGACGGGUGAGUAACGCGUGAGAAUCUGGCUUUAGGUCUGGGACAACCACUGGAAACGGUGGCUAAUACCGGAUGUGCCCGUAAUUGGGUGAAAGGUUAACUGCCUGAAGAUGAGCUCGCGUCUGAUUAGCUAGUUGGAAGUGUAAUGGACUCCCAAGGCGACGAUCAGUAGCUGGUCUGAGAGGACGAUCAGCCACACUGGGACUGAGACACGGCCCAGACUCCUACGGGAGGCAGCAGUGGGGAAUUUUCCGCAAUGGGCGAAAGCCUGACGGAGCAAUACCGCGUGAGGGAGGAAGGCUCUUGGGUCGUAAACCUCUUUUCUUAGGGAAGAACACAAUGACGGUACCUGAGGAAUAAGCAUCGGCUAACUCCGUGCCAGCAGCCGCGGUAAUACGGAGGAUGCAAGCGUUAUCCGGAAUGAUUGGGCGUAAAGCGUCCGCAGGUGGCAAUGUAAGUCUGCUGUUAAAGAGUCUAGCUCAACUAGAUACAAGCAGUGGAAACUACAUAGCUAGAGUACGUUCGGGGCAGAGGGAAUUCCUGGUGUAGCGGUGAAAUGCGUAGAGAUCAGGAAGAACACCAGUGGCGAAGGCGCUCUGCUAGGCCGUAACUGACACUGAGGGACGAAAGCUAGGGGAGCGAAUGGGAUUAGAUACCCCAGUAGUC